CUGGACAGAGGGGUCGCACUGGCCAGCCUGGCCCAUCGGGUUUGCCAGGGCCACCUGGGACUGAGGGAGCAGAAGGAAAGCCUGGGUCCCGCCGGACCUGUUGGCCAUUCCGGCGAUGACGGGCCAAUGGGGUUUCAAGGGAUCGCUGGUGAGAGAGGCCCAGAUGGGCCACCAGGUUUUACAGGACCUCCUGGGAAGACCGGACCUCCAGGCAUACCAGGACCCCCAGGAGAGAGGGGUUUCACAGGGAAACCGGGCGUGG